AAAGCAUUCAAGUUUUAACUAUAAAAGGAUCAAAAUAAAUCUCUUUACUACAUUCAAAGGAUGAAAAAUAUGGCUCAGUUUCUUCUGUUUAUUUAUUCUUUGAUUAUCUUUCUUUCUCUAUUUCUUGGAGAAGCGUGGUUCAAGAGGACUGAAACCGGGGAAAUAAUCUGGGUUGUUCGUUGCGUUACUGACACUGAUUGUCCAAAGAUGGGUGAACCUCAAUAUUUUAAGUGUCUUAAUGGUGUUUGUUUGGAACAUAUUCGUGAACUUCCAUAAUUGCACGAUUGAAACUAGGGGACAUCACAAUAUUUCAACUUUUAAUUUUUAUUUAAAAAUAUAAAUUAUGUUUAUCUAGCUGUUAAAUUUAAUUUUAUGUGUAUACGCUGCACUCUUUUUUACUUCACCAAAUUUUAUCGCAUUGGAUUUUCUUGUUAAGGUUUUCAACGAAACAGUUUUCUAUAGUGUUUGUUUCCUUUGAUUUUGGUGUAGUCCCCCAAUUUAUUUAUUUUUUAAAUAAAAUGUUUCUUUUAUGUCUUACAGAUAAUUGUAAAGAGUUAAGAUCCCUACCUAGGUAGGAUUUCCUCAUAUUUUCUGUUAGGGUUUAGCCGAAGCGCCGUUUCACCAAGCUGUAAAAGAAACAACAUGAAUCAUUGAUUCUUGAUUCAUUGAUUCAUCAUUCAUCUCCCUAAUUAAGCUAUUAAGGUGUUGCAAUCUUCUUCUUGGUUUUGGUGACAAAAGGUACUUUUUUUUUGUCAAGUAGGCUAGUAGAUAGAAUUCACCUUUUUCAAGGUGAAUAAGUGGGGUGUCCAGGGGUUCGAACCCCAAUCCCUACAUAUAACAACGCAAGUCCCUCCCAACUGAGCUAUGCUCGUUUCGACUAAAAAAAAGUGAACAAAGCAUUUUCUAUUACUACGUGAGUGGGUGUGUUACAUAUUAUUGCGCACCAAAUCCUUGCCCCUCACCGUUCACGUUUUUGUCAUGCCUAACACACCGAUUUUCGCUAGGAUAUUUAUUUGUUUAUUUAUUUAUUAUGUGUUAAAUCGCUUGUUUGUGUGUUUGAUUUAGGGAUUAGUAGAUUUAUAGGUGAGAAGGGUAUUUUAGGGUAUUUUCGCUAAGAUUUUUUAUUUGGGGUGCUUGACGAGAUGUUGUGAUCCAGCUCCUACGUAUUCCCAUGUGCAAUGGGAAACUCAAAGCUACGUAUUUCUUUGUCAAAAGGAUUUGUGGGAAUUUAAGUGUGUUGAAUUGGAGUUCUAGCUUAGGAUUUUGGGAGAUUGAGUUAAGGGGGAUAUGGAUUGGAUUCUCAUAAUAAGUUAAAAUCAUUUUUAUACAUUUUUAUUUUAGUUGAUUUUUGUGCUCAAAAUUAAGUGAUACUUGUGGGUAUAGUGAAAGUUGUGAAAUUAAGUUAUUUAUAUGCUUAAACUCAUGUUUGAUAAUUUGGAAUAAGUUGUUUUGAGAAUUUAGCUUAUUUAUGUGAAAACUACGAAGUUGUUGAUGAUUAUUGCUCAAGCAUGUUUUAAAUCAGUUGCUGAAUGAUUGGGUAUGUUUGAAUGUUGAUGAAUUAUGAUAUGUUGAUGUUGGUAGUGAUGUUUGGCUUGAAUUGUUAGAUUUUGUGGUUUAUGUGAAAAAUGGGUAUGAUCAUGAAAUUGAUGAUUUGGAAUAUAUGUUUUGAUUGAUGAAGUUGUUGUUAUGAAUAUGAGUAUGUUGAUGGUUGAGAAAUGGUUUUUGGUGGGAUUGAAUUAGAGAAAAACGAGAUUUUAAGCUAAAAGUCGUAUUAAGUGAUUUUGUGAUAUAAGUUAUGUUUUGAGGAUUGAACUUAAGAUGUUUUAAGUUGAAAAUGAUGUUUAAAAGUAGAACUUGAGUGGUUUAAGUGAUUGGGACGAAUUAGUGAAAACUGGAACGAAAACGGUUUGAAAAUCAGAAUUGUUGUAAUGGGUGGCACGACCGUGCGCCCUUGUGGUACGACCGUGCCAACCCCUCCGUGCAAGGGAAAUUCGAUUUUUCGUCUUUUAAAGAGUUUUCAAACAUACCAAUGGAUCUCAAACACCUAAACUUAGUUACCUGAUGUAUAGUUGAGAAUUAAUGAUGGAUUAAACUUGUUUUUGAAUUGAA